rfam:Aedes aegypti strain Liverpool supercont1.1148 genomic scaffold, whole genome shotgun sequence.
GCUGGCGUGGUCGAGUGGUUAUGGUGCACGCGCGUUUUGAAAACGUUUUUGCUUAUGGGCAUGGGUUCGAACCCCAUCGGCGGCA